AUUAACGCCCAUCGCUUCCCCCCUGGAGGUGCAUGGCCCCUACAGGUUUACCGUCUGGCCAUAAAUCACUAAAAUAAUUGAAGAAGUUGGCACUCCUGUAGAGGUGUGCACGUGCGCACUCAUGGAGAAAACCUCAGUGUUAAGGAAACUUUGUGGCAGGAAGAGUUAUUUACGUACAAAGUACAGCAUAACAUACAAAGUACAGCAUAACGUAUGUGGCAUGCAAAGAGUACGUAACCUUUAUUCGGCGCAUGUACACACCCUCAUUUACAGGCUACCUCCCCCAACCAGCGAACAAGGUUGCUGAGAGUUGAUGAUGGGGCCCCAUCGUUCAACUAGUGACCAGGUUCUAGCCAAUAAGAAGAUGGUUUUGGCAAUCGCAGAGGUUAUGUGGGUACCACUCUCCUGUCUGCCCUUGUCAUUCCCAUUCUAGAGCUGGUUGAAGCACGAUCUGCUGUCUUGUGGCUUCUAUUUCUGCCUUGCUUACCGUGGAGUGCACUAUACUUAUCUCUGUACAUAGUGUGGUAAGACUUCUACCAGAUUUGUGGUUUACAUGUGAGUACAGCCUCUCUUCAUUUAGCGAUGUACUCAUUUAUCGACGACUCGGAUUUACGACGAGCUCUCCGGCCAGUAUGCACACCUAAGUAAUCUGUAGUCUGGCAGUACAGUUAUCCAAAAUCUGGCAGUUGGUCCUCAUCAUCUCUAUGGAUCCUGUGCACAACAUCUCCGAUGCCUUUGACCAAAAGUUAUGCAUGGUUCCUAUUAGAGUCAAGAGGGUUUGACAACCUAUAUGCUAUGGUAAAGUUUGACAGCUAUUGUAUGGGGAGACUUGCCAGCAAUGUCUGAUUAAAAGUCACUAUGUUCAUAGCAAGGAUUAAUAAAUCCUGAAUCACUUUGAAGUAUUAAUGUAUACUUUUAAAAUUGUACCAUUGUUCAUUAAUCUACCUCUUGUUUUGUACAUUUAAGAAUGCCUGCUUAACCUGCAUCUAGUUCUUAAGUACUCUUUAAACAUUAAGGUUACUGUAUUAUACAGUAUGAAGGACCUCCCUCUUCCCUUCCCUCCCAUUCUGACUGGCUAAAUUUUGAAAAAAAGGAUAAAUGAUAUCCAUGGUAUAAAUUACUAUAUUGACAUGGAGAUGGGAAGUACAUUGCCUGCACUCUGAAGGAGGGGUGUUAAUGUUGCAGUUUAAAAAACAGUAGUGUAAAGCACCCUUCUGGCAAGACAGUGAUGGAAUGAAUGAUGGU